rnacentral:rRNA from 1 species
GCCCGAAGUCGUUACUCUAACCUGUUUGGAGGAGGACUCCUAAGGUAGAAUUAGUGACUGGGGUGAAGUCGUAACAAGGUAACCA